rnacentral:rRNA from 1 species
GAUGAACGCUGGCGGCGUGCCUAAUACAUGCAAGUCGAACGCUGGAAAUCUAGCUUGCUAGAUUGAAGGAGUGGCGAACGGGUGAGUAAUACAUAAGCAACCUACCCACGAAGACUGGGAUAAUCUCUGGAAACGGGGACUAAUACCGGAUAGGUAAUCGGAAGGCCUCUUCUGAUUAUUAAAGGAUAAAAACACUGGUGGAUGGGCUUAUGGCACAUAGGUUAGUUGGUGAGGUAACGGCACACCAAGACGAUGAUGCGUAGCCGGCCGGAGCGGGUGAACGGCCACAUUUGGACUGAGACACAGCCCAGUCUCCUACGCGAGGCAGCGGUAUGUAAUUUUCGGCAAUGGAGGAAACCCUGACCGAGCAACGCCGGGUGAGUGAGUACGGGCUUCGUGUUGUAAAGCUCUGUUGUAAGGAAAUAACGGUAGAUAGAUAAUAUCUAAAUGACGGUACCUUAUCAGAAAGCCACGGCUAACUACGUG